AGCCUGAUGCAGCCAUGCCGCGUGUGUGAAGAAGGCCUUCGGGUUGUAAAGCACUUUCAGUGGCGAGGAAGGUGGUGUAGUUAAUAGCUGCAUUACUUGACGUUAGCGACAGAAGAAGCACCGGCUAACUCCGUGCCAGCAGCCGCGGUAAUACGGAGGGUGCGAGCGUUAAUCGGAAUUACUGGGCGUAAAGCGCAUGCAGGUGGUUUGUUAAGUCAGAUGUGAAAGCCCGGGGCUCAACCUCGGAAUAGCAUUUGAAACUGGCAGACUAGAGUACUGUAGAGGGGGGUAGAAUUUCAGGUGUAGCGGUGAAAUGCGUAGAGAUCUGAAGGAAUACCGGUGGCGAAGGCGGCCCCCUGGACAGAUACUGACACUCAGAUGCGAAAGCGUGGGGAGCAAACAGGAUUAGAUACCCUGGUAGUCCACGCCGUAAACGAUGUCUACUUGGAGGUUGUGGCCUUGAGCCGUGGCUUUCGGAGCUAACGCG
rnacentral:rRNA from 1 species